GCUUGUCUCAAAGAUUAAGCCAUGCAUGUCUAAGUAUAAGCUGCUUAUACUGUGAAACUGCGAAUGGCUCAUUAAAUCAGUUAUAGUUUAUUUGAUGGUACCUUACUACUCGGAUAACCGUAGUAAACCUAGAGCUAAUACGUGCGUAAAUCCCGACUUCCGGAAGGGACGUAUUUAUUAGAUAAAAGACCGACCGGCUUCGGCCGACCCUCGGUGAAUCAUGAUAACUUCACGAAUCGCAUGGCCUCGUGCCGGCGAUGUUUCAUUCAAAUUUCUGCCCUAUCAACUUUCGAUGGUAAGGUAUUGGCCUACCAUGGUUACCACGGGUAACGGGGAAUUAGGGUUCGGUUCCGGAGAGGGGGCCUGAGAAAUGGCCACCACAUCCAAGGAAGGCAGCAGG
rnacentral:rRNA from 1 species